UCCGAGUUGACCCCGGCAGUCUCUUAUGAGUCCCCACCAUAACGUGCUGGCAACAUAAGACGAGGGUUGCGCUCGUUGCGGGACUUAACCCAACAUCUCACGACACGAGCUGACGACAGCCAUGCACCACCUGUAUACGAGUGUCCAAAGAGACCCCCUAUCUCUAGGGAUGUCUAGUGCAUGUCAAGCCCAGGUAAGGUUCUUCGCGUUGCAUCGAAUUAAACCACAUGCUCCGCUGCUUGUGCGGGCCCCCGUCAAUUCCUUUGGGUUUUAGCCUUGCGGCCGUACUCCCCAGGCGGGGCGCUUAAUGCGUUAGCUACGGCACGGAUCCCGUGGAAGGAAACCCACACCUAGCGCCCACCGUUUACGGCGUGGACUAC
rnacentral:misc_RNA from 1 species